rnacentral:rRNA from 1 species
CAGUAGCCACGGUAAUACGUAGGGUGCAAGCGUUAAUCGGAAUUACUGGGCGUAAAGCGUGCGCAGGCGGUUAUAUAAGUCAGAUGUGAAAUCCCCGGGCUCAACCUGGGAACUGCAUUUGAGACUGUAUGGCUAGAGUGUGUCAGAGGGGGGUAGAAUUCCACGUGUAGCAGUGAAAUGCGUAGAUAUGUGGAGGAAUACCGAUGGCGAAGGCAGCCCCCUGGGAUAACACUGACGCUCAUGCACGAAAGCGCGGGGAGCAAACAGGAUUAGAUACCCCUGUAGUCCCUGUCUCUUAUAC